AUAGGGGAGCCGGAGGGAAACCGAGUCUUAACCGGGCGUUAAGUUGCAGGGUAUAGACCCGAAACCCGGUGAUCUAGCCAUGGGCAGGUUGAAGGUUGGGUAACACUAACUGGAGGACCGAACCGACUAAUGUUGAAAAAUUAGCGGAUGACCUGUGGCUGGGGGUGAAAGGCCAAUCAAACCGGGAGAUAGCUGGUUCUCCCCGAAAGCUAUUUAGGUAGCGCCUCGUGAAUUCAUCUCCGGGGGUAGAGCACUGUUUCGGCUAGGGGGCCAUCCCGGCUUACCAACCCGAUGCAAACUGCGAAUACCGGAGAAUGUUAUCACGGGAGACACACGGCGGGUGCUAACGUCCGUCGUGAAGAGGGAAACAACCCAGACCGCCAGCUAAGGUCCCAAAGUCAUGGUUAAGUGGGAAACGAUGUGGGAAGGCCCAGACAGCCAGGAUGUUGGCUUAGAAGCAGCCAUCAUUUAAAGAAAGCGUAAUAGCUCACUGGUCGAGUCGGCCUGCGCGGAAGAUGUAACGGGGCUAAACCAUGCACCGAAGCUGCGGCAGCGACACUAUGUGUUGUUGGGUAGGGGAGCGUUCUGUAAGCCUGUGAAGGUGUGCUGUGAGGCAUGCUGGAGGUAUCAGAAGUGCGAAUGCUGACAUAAGUAACGAUAAAGCGGGUGAAAAGCCCGCUCGCCGGAAGACCAAGGGUUCCUGUCCAACGUUAAUCGGGGCAGGGUGAGUCGACCCCUAAGGCGAGGCCGAAAGGCGUAGUCGAUGGGAAACGGGUUAAUAUUCCCGUACUUGGUGUUACUGCGAAGGGGGGACGGAGAAGGCUAUGUUGGCCGGGCGACGGUUGUCCCGGUUUAAGCGUGUAGGUGUGUGUUCCAGGUAAAUCCGGUUCACUUUAACACUGAGGCGUGAUGACGAGGCACUACGGUGCUGAAGCAACAAAUGCCCUGCUUCCAGGAAAAGCCUCUAAGCAUCAGGUAACAUCAAAUCGUACCCCAAACCGACACAGGUGGUCAGGUAGAGAAUACCAAGGCGCUUGAGAGAACUCGGGUGAAGGAACUAGGCAAAAUGGUGCCGUAACUUCGGGAGAAGGCACGCUGACAUGUAGGUGAAGUGAUUUACUCACGGAGCUGAAGUCAGUCGAAGAUACCAGCUGGCUGCAACUGUUUAUUAAAAACACAGCACUGUGCAAACACGAAAGUGGACGUAUACGGUGUGACGCCUGCCCGGUGCCGGAAGGUUAAUUGAUGGGGUCAGCGCAAGCGAAGCUCCUGAUCGAAGCCCCGGUAAACGGCGGCCGUAACUAUAACGGUCCUAAGGUAGCGAAAUUCCUUGUCGGGUAAGUUCCGACCUGCACGAAUGGCGUAAUGAUGGCCAGGCUGUCUCCACCCGAGACUCAGUGAAAUUGAACUCGCUGUGAAGAUGCAGUGUACCCGCGGCAAGACGGAAAGACCCCGUGAACCUUUACUAUAGCUUGACACUGAACAUUGAGCCUUGAUGUGUAGGAUAGGUGGGAGGCUUUGAAGUGUGGACGCCAGUCUGCAUGGAGCCGGCCUUGAAAUACCACCCUUUAAUGUUUGAUGUUCUAACGUGGACCCGUGAUCCGGGUUGCGGACAGUGUCUGGUGGGUAGUUUGACUGGGGCGGUCUCCUCCUAAAGAGUAACGGAGGAGCACGAAGGUUGGCUAAUCCUGGUCGGACAUCAGGAGGUUAGUGCAAUGGCAUAAGCCAGCUUGACUGCGAGCGUGACGGCGCGAGCAGGUGCGAAAGCAGGUCAUAGUGAUCCGGUGGUUCUGAAUGGAAGGGCCAUCGCUCAACGGAUAAAAGGUACUCCGGGGAUAACAGGCUGAUACCGCCCAAGAGUUCAUAUCGACGGCGGUGUUUGGCACCUCGAUGUCGGCUCAUCACAUCCUGGGGCUGAAGUAGGUCCCAAGGGUAUGGCUGUUCGCCAUUUAAAGUGGUACGCGAGCUGGGUUUAGAACGUCGUGAGACAGUUCGGUCCCUAUCUGCCGUGGGCGCUGGAGAACUGAGGGGGGCUGCUCCUAGUACGAGAGGACCGGAGUGGACGCAUCACUGGUGUUCGGGUUGUCAUGCCAAUGGCACUGCCCGGUAGCUAAAUGCGGAAGAGAUAAGUGCUGAAAGCAUCUAAGCACGAAACUUGCCCCGAGAUGAGUUCU
rnacentral:rRNA from 1 species